ACCCAUCCUUCCCUCAGGAGCAAGAUCGAGCUGGGCGCUGCCGGCGCCGUUCCCGCCUCAGCGCUGUGACGGCGGAGGGCCGUUCCCGCCCGCAGCCCCUGUGGGGACAUGGCGCCUCGGCACGGGCGGCUGCUUCGGCCCCUUCCUCACCUCCCCGUUCUGCUUCCAGCCGCUCCCUCACAGACGUCAGGGCCCCAGACAGCAGGGUGAUAGGCUUGGUCUCUGCGGCUGUUAUCUGCAGCCCCAGCAGGUCUUAUGCAAGUACAGCCACACCGAAUCCAUUGCCUCCUAAAGCUUCGACAGUGUUGUAAAGGAGCAAGCAAUGCCUGACUGUCGUCUUUUGGAUCUCAGCAGCUCUGCCUGGCAAAUGAAUUAGUUGUUUUCAAUAAAUUUAUACAGAUAGAAAAAGACAUAGAAGGCAUUCCUGGAAUUUAGCUCUAUUUUGUACAGUGUGAAGUUGUAAUUGCACUUAGAAAGAUAAUAUGACCCAGAGACUGGCUGGUAGAUAGAAAUAGUGUUUAGUCACUAAUUACAAAUAUCCACAGUGCUCUAUUUAUAACCCUAACAGCAUUUUCAGGUAAACAUACUUGAAGUCAGUCUCACACAUUAAUAAAAAAAAUAGGACUGUGUGAUGCAGAUGCUGCUGAUUUCAGUCGGUGCUAGACUGCCUUGGAAGCUCCCUCAUAAAUUGAAUUUACUGGAGACAAGACUCACUCUUCCAAGAAAUGCACUCAUAAAAUGUCAGGAAAUUAGAACAUUGCCUUUAGGAACAUGUAAUAGAUGAGAGCUGAAGAGGCGUCAAUAUCAAACCUUUACACAUAUGGUGGCAGUACAGAGGAAGAUAUUUUAUUUUAUGGUUUUGAAAAAAUAUUUAUUGGAAAGAAUGUCCAUUUGAGGAUUUCAAAAUAGAAGUUCACCCUCUGAAUUCUGAAAACUUGUAGAACUGUAGAUGUUUCUGUGAGGGACCCAUUUAGGGCAUCAUCCUAAGGGUAGACUCGUGCAAGUACUCCUGUGGUUUUAGCAAAUCUGCUUUUUUUGUAUAGUAUUUCCACUUUAAUACAACUUAGGAAAUAUUUCCGCAUAAAUUCAACUUAGGAAAUGUAAUUCAACUAAAAAAAAAAA